CCAUCUCGAACACGGAAGUUAAGCACUCUUACGUCGAUGGUACUACAAUUAUGUGGGAGAGUAGAUAGUUGCCGGGC
rnacentral:rRNA from 1 species